rnacentral:rRNA from 1 species
AGAGUUUGAUCAUGGCUCAGAUUGAACGCUGGCGGCAGGCCUAACACAUGCAAGUCGAACGGUAACAGGAAGAAGCUUGCUUCUUUGCUGACGAGUGGCGGACGGGUGAGUAAUGUCUGGGAAACUGCCUGAUGGAGGGGGAUAACUACUGGAAACGGUAGCUAAUACCGCAUAACGUCGCAAGACCAAAGAGGGGGACCUUCGGGCCUCUUGCCAUCGGAUGUGCCCAGAUGGGAUUAGCUAGUAGGUGGGGUAACGGCUCACCUAGGCGACGAUCCCUAGCUGGUCUGAGAGGAUGACCAGCCACACUGGAACUGAGACACGGUCCAGACUCCUACGGGAGGCAGCAGUGGGGAAUAUUGCACAAUGGGCGCAAGCCUGAUGCAGCGACGCCGCGUGCGGGAUGACGGCCUUCGGGUUGUAAACCGCUUUUGAUCGGGAGCAAGCCUUCGGGUGAGUGUACCUUUCGAAUAAGCACCGGCUAACUACGUGCCAGCAGCCGCGGUAAUACGUAGGGUGCAAGCGUUAAUCGGAAUUACUGGGCGUAAAGCGUGCGCAGGCGGUUCUGUAAGACAGGUGUGAAAUCCCAGGGCUUAACCUUGGAAUUGCAUUUGUGACUGCAGGACUAGAGUUCAUCAGAGGGGGGUGGAAUUCCAAGUGUAGCAGUGAAAUGCGUAGAUAUUUGGAAGAACACCAAUGGCGAAGGCAGCCCCCUGGGAUGCGACUGACGCUCAUGCACGAAAGCGUGGGGAGCAAACAGGAUUAGAUACCCUGGUAGUCCACGCCCUAAACGAUGUCUACUGGUUGUUGGGGAUUUAAUAUCCUUGGUAACGAAGCUAACGCGUGAAGUAGACCGCCUGGGGAGUACGGUCGCAAGAUUAAAACUCAAAGGAAUUGACGGGGACCCGCACAAGCGGUGGAUGAUGUGGAUUAAUUCGAUGCAACGCGAAAAACCUUACCUAGCCUUGACAUGCCAGGAACCCUGAAGAGAUUCGGGGGUGCCCGCAAGGGAAUCUGGACACAGGUGCUGCAUGGCUGUCGUCAGCUCGUGUCGUGAGAUGUUGGGUUAAGUCCCGCAACG